GAUGAACGCUGGCGGCGUGCUUAACACAUGCAAGUCGAACGAGAAGUGGAGACGGAAACCUUCGGGCGGAAGACUUUAUUUCGAUUGGCGGACGGGUGAGUAACGCGUGGGUAACCUGCCUCAUACAGGGGGAUAACAGUUGGAAACGACUGUUAAUACCGCAUAAGACCACAGCACCGCAUGGUGCGGGGGUAAAAACUCCGGUGGUAUGAGAUGGACCCGCGUUCGAUUAGCCAGUUGGCGGGGUAACGGCCCACCAAAGCGACGAUCGAUAGCCGAUCUGAGAGGAUGACCGGCCACAUUGGGACUGAGACACGGCCCAAACUCCUACGGGAGGCAGCAGUGGGGAAUAUUGCACAAUGGGGGAAACCCUGAUGCAGCGACGCCGCGUGAGUGAAGAAGUAUUUCGGUAUGUAAAGCUCUAUCAGCAGGGAAGAAAAUGACGGUACCUGAGUAAGAAGCCCCGGCUAACUACGUG
rnacentral:rRNA from 1 species